rnacentral:rRNA from 1 species
GAUUAACGCUGGCGGCGUGCCUAACACAUGCAAGUCGUGUGGUCCGGCGCAAGUCGGACAGCGGCGAACGGCUGAGUAACACGUGGAUAACCUACCCCCGCCACGGCAAUAACUCGUCGAAAGAUGGGCUAAUCGCCGAUGGUAUUUGGUGGUGUAAUUCCAUCAAAUUAAAGGUGUUCCGCAAGGAAUGCCGGGCGGGGAAGGAUCCGCGGCCUAUCAGCUUGUUGGUGAGGUAAUGGCUCACCAAGGCGAUGACGGGUAGCUGGUCUGAGAGGAUGAUCAGCCAGAGUGGGACUGAGACACGGCCACACUCCUACGGGAGGCAGCAGUGAGGAAUCUUGCGCAAUGGGCGAAAGCCUGACGCAGCGACGCCGCGUGGAGGAAGAAGCCUUUCGAGGUGUAAACUCCUUUUAUCGCUGAAAAAUUCUGAUGGUAAGCGAUGAAUAAGUCUCGGCUAACUACGUGCCAGCAGCCGCGGUAAUACGUAGGAGGCAAGCGUUAUCCGGAUUUACUGGGCGUAAAGAGUACGUAGGUGCCCGCCCCAAUUUUCUGUUAAAUUUUCGGGCUCAACUCGAAAACUGCAGAAAAUAUUAGGCGGGUUGAGACCAGAAGGGGCAGGCGGAAUUCCUGGUGUAGGGGUGAAAUCCGUUGAUAUCAGGAAGAACACCAAUGGCGAAGGCAGCCUGCUAGUCUGGUUCUGACACUGAGGUACGAAAGCGUGGGGAGCGAAAGGGAUUAGAUACCCCUGUAGUCCACGCCGUAAACGAUGCUGGCUAGGUAUCGGAAGCAUCGACCCUUCUUGUUCCGUAGCUAACGCGUUAAGCCAGCCGCCUGGGAAGUACGGCCGCUAGGCUAAAACUCAAAGGAAUUGACGGGGGCUCGCACAAGCGGUGGAGCAUCUGGCUUAAUUCGACAAUAAGCGAAGAACCUUACCAGGCCUUGACAUCCCGCGAACCCCGCAGAAAUGCGGGGGUGCCCGCAAGGGAGCGCGGAGACAGGUGCUGCAUGGUCGUCGUCAGCUCGUGUCGUGAGAUGUUGGGUUAAGUCCCGCAACGAGCGCAACCCUCAUCCCGUGUUAAAUCUGUCACGGGAGACUGCCCCGGUUAACGGGGAGGAAGGCGGGGAUGACGUCAGAUCAGCAUGGUUUUUACGGCCUGGGCAGCACAGGUGCUACAAUGGCCCAGACAAAGGGUGGCUAGGCCGUAAGGUGGAGCUAAUCCCAUCAAACUGGGUCCCAGUUCGGAUUGAGGUCUGCAACUUGACCUCAUGAAGCUGGAAUCGCUAGUAACCGUGGGUCAGCUAUACCACGGUGAAUACGUUCCCGAGCCUUGUACACACCGCCCGUCAAGUGAGCCGAGUCGACAGCGCCCGAAGCC